UACGUGGGGGGCAAGCGUUGUUCGGAAUUACUGGGCGUAAAGGGCUCGUAGGCGGCCAACUAAGUCGGACGUGAAAUCCCUCGGCUUAACCGGGGAACUGCGUCCGAUACUGGAUGGCUUGAGUUCGGGAGAGGGAUGCGGAAUUCCAGGUGUAGCGGUGAAAUGCGUAGAUAUCUGGAGGAACACCGGUGGCGAAGGCGGCAUCCUGGACCGACACUGACGCUGAGGAGCGAAAGCCAGGGGAGCAAACGGG
rnacentral:rRNA from 1 species